rnacentral:rRNA from 1 species
UAGUGGCGAACGGGUGAGUAACACGUGGGCAAUCUGCCCUUCACUCUGGGACAAGCCCUGGAAACGGGGUCUAAUACCGGAUAACACUGCGGAUCGCAUGGUCUGUGGUUAAAAGCUCCGGCGGUGAAGGAUGAGCCCGCGGCCUAUCAGCUUGUUGGUGAGGUAGUGGCUCACCAAGGCGACGACGGGUAGCCGGCCUGAGAGGGCGACCGGCCACACUGGGACUGAGACACGGCCCAGACUCCUACGGGAGGCAGCAGUGGGGAAUAUUGCACAAUGGGCGAAAGCCUGAUGCAGCGACGCCGCGUGAGGGAUGACGGCCUUCGGGUUGUAAACCUCUUUCAGCAGGGAAGAAGCGAAAGUGACGGUACCUGCAGAAGAAGCGCCGGCUAACUACGUGCCAGCAGCCGCGGUAAUACGUAGGGCGCAAGCGUUGUCCGGAAUUAUUGGGCGUAAAGAGCUCGUAGGCGGCUUGUCACGUCGAUUGUGAAAGCCCGAGGCUUAACCUCGGGUCUGCAGUCGAUACGGGCUAGCUAGAGGGUGGUAGGGGAGAUCGGAAUUCCU